GACCCACCUGAUCCCAUCCCGAACUCAGAAGUGAAACGAUUUAGCGCCGAUGGUAGUGUGGGGUUUCCCCAUGUGAGAGUAGGACAUCGCCAAGC
rnacentral:rRNA from 1 species